rnacentral:rRNA from 1 species
GAUGAACGCUGACAGAAUGCUUAACACAUGCAAGUCUUUGGCGAAUCUGUGCUUGCACAGGCUAGCCAAGGCGGACGGGUGAGUAACGCGUAAAGAACUUGCCCUGCAGACAGGGAUAACAGACGGAAACGACUGAUAACACCUGAUACAGUUGCCGGCACGCAUGUGCCUGGCAAUGAAAAGAGAUGCUGCAGGAGAGCUUUGCGUCCUAUUAGCUUGUUGGUGAGGUGACGGCUCACCAAGGCGAUGAUAGGUAGCCGGCCUGAGAGGGUGAACGGCCACAAGGGGACUGAGAUACGGCCCUUACUCCUACGGGAGGCAGCAGUGGGGAAUAUUGGACAAUGGGGGCAACCCUGAUCCAGCAAUUCUGUGUGCACGAAGAAGGUUUUCGGAUUGUAAAGUGCUUUCAGCAGGGAAGAAGGAAGUGACGGUACCUGCAGAAGAAGCGACGGCUAAAUACGUG